GUGGGGAAUCUUCCGCAAUGGACGAAAGUCUGACGGAGCAACGCCGCGUGAGUGAAGAAGGUUUUCGGAUCGUAAAGCUCUUUCGUUAGGGACGAACGUGCUCUUUGUGAAUAAUGAGGAGUAAUGACGGUACCUAAAUAAGAAGCCACGGCUAACUACGUGCCAGCAGCCGCGGUAAUACGUAGGUGGCAAGCGUUGUCCGGAAUUAUUGGGCGUAAAGCGCGCGCAGGCGGGAUAUCAAGUCUGUCUUAAAAGUGCGAGGCUCAACCUCGUGAGGGGACAGAAACUGGUAUUCUUGAGUGUCGGAGAGGAAAGUGGAAUUCCAAGUGUAGUGGUGAAAUGCGUAGAGAUUUGGAAGAACACCAGUGGCGAAGGCGACUUUCUGGACGAUGUCUGACGCUGAGGCGCGAAAGCUAGGGGAGCGAACGGGAUUAGAAACCCGAGUAGUCC
rnacentral:rRNA from 1 species